rnacentral:sRNA from 1 species
GUGAUCGUCGACUCAGCUGACCCUGCGGACCGGAAAAAGAAAUUCCGGGGCCCUGGUUUCUUGGCGCGAUGAGGUUCCGGUUCUGUGGUGAUCUGGACUGUCCCGACUGGGUCUUGGCAGAAAUCAGCACGCUGGCCAAGAUGGUUGAGUGCACAGGGUCUAGUCUGGGUGGAGGAGGGGUGUUGGGCUGGGGAUUGUGGGUGUAGAGGAUGGUGAGGUUUCUCUGGGGUUAGGCCCUCAGUGCUCUCAGCCUGUGCUACCAUGCUUUGUGACCUUGAUCAGUGGCUGGCCUGCUCUGAGGCUGUCCCCAGGAAGGAGGGGUGAGGUUUGCCAGCCUGGCUGAUGUAAGGACUUCCCUUCCAGUCCUCUGUGAAGUUGCGGCUGCUCUGCAGCCAGGUACUAAAGGAGCUGCUGGGACAGGGAAUUGAUGUGAGUACAAGACCCAGCACCCCAUUGUCCCAUGACCUUAUGACCCCCACUGCCCUGAAACUGUGCACUAGACCCGGGGAGACAGGUGAACCAGCCUCUCAACCUCUCUGGGCACCUCCCUUCCUUCUUUCCAGCUUGUCUGUUCCUUAUCGCAGGAUCCAGGCUAGGGGUGAGGGGCUGGUGAGCAGGGGCCUGGCACCCCCUGAAGGUCUCCUUUCCCCUUAGUAUGAGAAGAUCCUGAAGCUCACGGCUGACGCCAAGUUUGGUGAGUACCUUGCUGAGUCUACAGGCCCCAGGCAACCCUGCGAACUUGGCCUGGUACCUGGUACAGAGGGGCCCCCUACCCCUCCCAGCAGCAUCCUUAACUUACCUUCCGUAGUGGAGGAGCAUGAGGGAAAGAAAGACUGACAGUCCCACCUUCUUGUCCUCUGCCAGCUCCUGGUGGAGCAGUAGCAGUGCCUGUGGCUCCAGGAGGCCUGGGGACUUUGAGCUGAAGUUAAUAGGGCAAAAGGGAGGUGGCUGGGCCCACAGUGACACCCCCUGUCCCAUAUACGGGUCCCUCAGAGUCAGGUGAUGUGAAGGCCACAGUGGCAGUGCUGAGUUUCAUCCUCUCCAGUGCGGCCAAGCACAGUGUCGAUGGCGAAUCCUUGUCCAGUGAACUGCAGCAGCUGGGGCUGCCCAAAGGUACGGGUUGUGGGUGGGCAGCUGGGCAGCCUGUGGGCCAAGGGCUGCUAGAGAGGGGGACGGACCCUGAGGUGUACCCUGCCCUGUUUGGGCCAGGAGCCCAAGCUCAGCUCCCACCUGCUACCUCCAGAGCUACUCCAUUCUACCCCCAGAGCACGCGGCCAGCCUGUGCCGCUGUUAUGAGGAGAAGCAAAGCCCCUUGCAGAAGCACUUGCGGAUCUGCAGCCUACGCAGUAAGUAUGAGGCCAGCCAGGGUCCGGGCUCAUUCUAGAAGGUGCACGCAGCACGCAAAGUGCAUGGAGAGUCCAGGGAGACGACUUAACCAUGGUCACAUGGUUACUAGCAGCCGUAGAGCUGGGACCUGGCCCUGGGUCUCCUGACUCCCCCCAAGGUUUCUUGUCACUGAGGUCUGCUGUGGGUGAUCCAAACUUAUUAUCGGGCACUGCCCUGUUGUGAGCCUGGGUCAGCAAGAUGGGAGCUUCUUAGAGGCCACAUAGCCUUAAAAGGUUGAGAGCUGAGCCAGGGUGUCGGCUGAGGGCCACUUGUCUCGUCUGCUUUGAUCCUGAGAGCCACCCACCCCAUCUCACAGUGAAUAGGUUGGCAGGUGUGGGCUGGCGGGUGGACUACACCCUGAGCUCCAGCCUGCUGCGGUCCGUGGAAGAGCCCAUGGUGCACCUGCGGCUGGAGGUGGCAGCUGCCCCAGGGACCCCAGCCCAGCCUGUUGCCAUGUCCCUCUCAGCAGACAAGUUCCAGGUCCUCCUCGCAGGUGAGGCUCAGCUAUUCCUCAACAGGUAAGAGGCUCUCCCAGAUCUGCCUGACUGCCUCCCGCCUGCCCACCUCUUCCCUCUGCAGAACUGAAGCAGGCCCAGACCCUGAUGAGCUCCCUGGGCUGAGGAGAAGGGUGUUGCAGGCCUGUGUGGAGCCGCCCUGCCCGUAUGGAGUCACACCCUCUGAACUGCUCUUUGGGAGGCAGCCCUGGUUCUAGGAUGCUGAGGCCCUGGCCUGGACUCUGGCCUCCCAGAUCCCCAGCUGCCUCACUUGUCUCUUGAGAACUCGGCUCAGGGCUCCUGAGGACCUUUCCCAGCAUUACCUUCCCUUCCCUUGAAAGGCAAUUGUUGGCUGUUUUCAUGAGCAGGAAAAAUAAACAGAACUAUAAAGGAA